rnacentral:lncRNA from 1 species
AUGGAGUUUCACUCUUGUUGCCCAGGCUGGAAUGCAAUGGCACGCCAUCUUGGCUCCCUGCAAGCUCUGUCUCCCAGGUUCAAGCGAUUCUCCUGCCUCUGCCUCCUGAGUAGCUGGGAUUACAGAUGCUUCCCUCCCUCAAAUCUUGGACUCCAAGUUCAGCUUUGGGACCAGGACUGGCUUCCUUGCUCCUCAGCUUGAAGAUGGCCUAUUGUGAGACCUUGUGAUCAUGUGAGUUAAUACUCCUUAAUAAACUCCCCUUUUUAUGUACAUCUAUCCUAUUAGUUCUGUCCUUCUUGAAGAACCCUGACUAAUACAGUUAGUAUUUGAAAUUUAAUUAAUAAGUACAUGAUACCGUUUGGCUCUGUGUCCCCACCCAAAUCUCAUCUUGAAUUGUAAUCCUCAUAAUCCUCACAUGUCAAGGGUGGGACCAGGUGGAGGUAAUGAAAUCGUGGGGGUGGUUCCCCCAUGUUGUUCUCAUGAUAGUGAGUGAGUUCUCAGGAGAACUGAUUUUUUUUUGUUUUUUUUUUGUUUGUUUGUUUUGUUUUGUUUGUUUUUUUGAGACGGAGUUUCACUCUUGUUGCCCAGGCUUUAGUGCAGUGGCAUGAUCUCAGCUCACCCCAACCUCUGCCUCCCGGGUUCAAACGAUUCUUUUGCAUCAGUCUCCCGAGUAUCUGCGAUUACAGGCAGGUGCCAAUGUGCCACCACGCCCGGCUAAUUUCGUGUUUUUAGUAGAGACGUGGUUUCUCCGUGUUGGGCAGGCUGGUCUCAAACUCCCGAACUCCGUUGAUCUGCCACCUCAGCCUCUCAAACUGCUGGGAUUACAGGCGGGAGCCACCAUGCCCUGCUGAUCGUUUUAUAGGUGUCUGACCCUUCCCCUGCUUCCAGUUUUCCUUCCUGCCGCACUGUGAAGAAGCUGCCUUGCUUCCUCUUAGCCUUCUGCCAUGAUCGUAAAUUUCCUGAGGCUUCCCCAGCCAUGCUGAAGUGUGAGUUUAACUUUCUUUUAUAAAUUCACCAGUCUUGUGUAUGUCUUUAUUAGCAAUGUUAGAAUGGACUAAUACAGUACAC